rnacentral:rRNA from 1 species
GUACACUCCUACGGGAGGCAGCAGUGGGGAAUAUUGGACAAUGGGCGCAAGCCUGAUCCAGCCAUGCCGCGUGAGUGAUGAAGGCCCUAGGGUUGUAAAGCUCUUUCACCGGUGAAGAUAAUGACGGUAACCGGAGAAGAAGCCCCGGCUAACUUCGUGCCAGCAGCCGCGGUAAUACGAAGGGGGCUAGCGUUGUUCGGAUUUACUGGGCGUAAAGCGCACGUAGGCGGACUAUUAAGUCAGGGGUGAAAUCCCGGGGCUUAACCCCGGAACUGCCUUUGAUACUGGUAGUCUUGAGUUCGAGAGAGGUGAGUGGAAUUCCGAGUGUAGAGGUGAAAUUCGUAGAUAUUCGGAGGAACACCAGUGGCGAAGGCGGCUCACUGGCUCGAUACUGACGCUGAGGUGCGAAAGCGUGGGGAGCAAACAGGAUUAGAUACCCCUGUAGUCCCA